rnacentral:rRNA from 1 species
GGUUAAGCGACUAAGCGUACACGGUGGAUGCCCUGGCAGUCAGAGGCGAUGAAGGACGUGCUAAUCUGCGAUAAGCGUCGGUAAGGUGAUAUGAACCGUUAUAACCGGCGAUUUCCGAAUGGGGAAACCCAGUGUGAUUCGUCACACUAUCAUUAACUGAAUCCAUAGGUUAAUGAGGCGAACCGGGGGAACUGAAACAUCUAAGUACCCCGAGGAAAAGAAAUCAACCGAGAUUCCCCCAGUAGCGGCGAGCGAACGGGGAGGAGCCCAGAGCCUGAAUCAGUGUGUGUGUUAGUGGAAGCGUCUGGAAAGGCGCGCGAUACAGGGUGACAGCCCCGUACACAAAAAUGCACAUGCUGUGAGCUCGAUGAGUAGGGCGGGACACGUGGUAUCCUGUCUGAAUAUGGGGGGACCAUCCUCCAAGGCUAAAUACUCCUGACUGACCGAUAGUGAACCAGUACCGUGAGGGAAAGGCGAAAAGAACCCCGGCGAGGGGAGUGAAAAAGAACCUGAAACCGUGUACGUACAAGCAGUGGGAGCACGCUUAGGCGUGUGACUGCGUACCUUUUGUAUAAUGGGUCAGCGACUUAUAUUCUGUAGCAAGGUUAACCGAAUAGGGGAGCCGAAGGGAAACCGAGUCUUAACUGGGCGUUAAGUUGCAGGGUAUAGACCCGAAACCCGGUGAUCUAGCCAUGGGCAGGUUGAAGGUUGGGUAACACUAACUGGAGGACCGAACCGACUAAUGUUGAAAAAUUAGCGGAUGACUUGUGGCUGGGGGUGAAAGGCCAAUCAAACCGGGAGAUAGCUGGUUCUCCCCGAAAGCUAUUUAGGUAGCGCCUCGUGAAUUCAUCUCCGGGGGUAGAGCACUGUUUCGGCAAGGGGGUCAUCCCGACUUACCAACCCGAUGCAAACUGCGAAUACCGGAGAAUGUUAUCACGGGAGACACACGGCGGGUGCUAACGUCCGUCGUGAAGAGGGAAACAACCCAGACCGCCAGCUAAGGUCCCAAAGUCAUGGUUAAGUGGGAAACGAUGUGGGAAGGCCCAGACAGCCAGGAUGUUGGCUUAGAAGCAGCCAUCAUUUAAAGAAAGCGUAAUAGCUCACUGGUCGAGUCGGCCUGCGCGGAAGAUGUAACGGGGCUAAACCAUGCACCGAAGCUGCGGCAGCGACGCUUAUGCGUUGUUGGGUAGGGGAGCGUUCUGUAAGCCUGUGAAGGUGUGCUGUGAGGCAUGCUGGAGGUAUCAGAAGUGCGAAUGCUGACAUAAGUAACGAUAAAGCGGGUGAAAAGCCCGCUCGCCGGAAGACCAAGGGUUCCUGUCCAACGUUAAUCGGGGCAGGGUGAGUCGACCCCUAAGGCGAGGCCGAAAGGCGUAGUCGAUGGGAAACAGGUUAAUAUUCCUGUACUUGGUGUUACUGCGAAGGGGGGACGGAGAAGGCUAUGUUGGCCGGGCGACGGUUGUCCCGGUUUAAGCGUGUAGGCUGGUUUUCCAGGCAAAUCCGGAAAAUCAAGGCUGAGGCGUGAUGACGAGGCACUACGGUGCUGAAGCAACAAAUGCCCUGCUUCCAGGAAAAGCCUCUAAGCAUCAGGUAACAUCAAAUCGUACCCCAAACCGACACAGGUGGUCAGGUAGAGAAUACCAAGGCGCUUGAGAGAACUCGGGUGAAGGAACUAGGCAAAAUGGUGCCGUAACUUCGGGAGAAGGCACGCUGAUAUGUAGGUGAAGUCCCUCGCGGAUGGAGCUGAAAUCAGUCGAAGAUACCAGCUGGCUGCAACUGUUUAUUAAAAACACAGCACUGUGCAAACACGAAAGUGGACGUAUACGGUGUGACGCCUGCCCGGUGCCGGAAGGUUAAUUGAUGGGGUCAGCGCAAGCGAAGCUCUUGAUCGAAGCCCCGGUAAACGGCGGCCGUAACUAUAACGGUCCUAAGGUAGCGAAAUUCCUUGUCGGGUAAGUUCCGACCUGCACGAAUGGCGUAAUGAUGGCCAGGCUGUCUCCACCCGAGACUCAGUGAAAUUGAACUCGCUGUGAAGAUGCAGUGUACCCGCGGCAAGACGGAAAGACCCCGUGAACCUUUACUAUAGCUUGACACUGAACAUUGAGCCUUGAUGUGUAGGAUAGGUGGGAGGCUUAGAAGUGUGGACGCCAGUCUGCAUGGAGCCGACCUUGAAAUACCACCCUUUAAUGUUUGAUGUUCUAACGUUGACCCGUAAUCCGGGUUGCGGACAGUGUCUGGUGGGUAGUUUGACUGGGGCGGUCUCCUCCUAAAGAGUAACGGAGGAGCACGAAGGUUGGCUAAUCCUGGUCGGACAUCAGGAGGUUAGUGCAAUGGCAUAAGCCAGCUUGACUGCGAGCGUGACGGCGCGAGCAGGUGCGAAAGCAGGUCAUAGUGAUCCGGUGGUUCUGAAUGGAAGGGCCAUCGCUCAACGGAUAAAAGGUACUCCGGGGAUAACAGGCUGAUACCGCCCAAGAGUUCAUAUCGACGGCGGUGUUUGGCACCUCGAUGUCGGCUCAUCACAUCCUGGGGCUGAAGUAGGUCCCAAGGGUAUGGCUGUUCGCCAUUUAAAGUGGUACGCGAGCUGGGUUUAGAACGUCGUGAGACAGUUCGGUCCCUAUCUGCCGUGGGCGCUGGAGAACUGAGGGGGGCUGCUCCUAGUACGAGAGGACCGGAGUGGACGCAUCACUGGUGUUCGGGUUGUCAUGCCAAUGGCACUGCCCGGUAGCUAAAUGCGGAAGAGAUAAGUGCUGAAAGCAUCUAAGCACGAAACUUGCCCCGAGAUGAGUUCUCCCUGACCCUUUAAGGGUCCUGAAGGAACGUUGAAGACGACGACGUUGAUAGGCCGGGUGUGUAAGCGCAGCGAUGCGUUGAGCUAACCGGUACUAAUGAACCGUGAGGCUUAACCUU